UAGCUCAGUUGGUAGAGCAUGGUGUUUGCAAUGCCAGGGUUGUGGAUUCGAUUCCCAC
rnacentral:tRNA from 1 species